GAUAAACAGAAUGGAAAUGCUCAUAAAACAUGAGUCUGGUAACAUUUUGACAUGCAUCUUGAGGCCGUGGGCCCAAAGUGAUUGUCUGGUUGUUCCAGAUGGUUGUGGUCAAAGACAGAGGGGGCCAAGAUUCACAUUUCUGGGUAGCAGCUUGAAUUCUGGAUUAGUUCUGUCUCCUUCGUGGCUUCCCCACUCAGGUUCAUGAAGCUCUUCCAAUCACAGAUCUCCUUUUAUUUGCACAGAAUGUAGCCUGAUAGACCACUUGGAAUGGACAGAAGCUCAUCUGCCAGGAUUGGCCAAGACUCAGCUAUCUGUUACAAAAAUGACAAAACUGAAGCCUCAAGAGCCUGACUUGCUCAUGGUGACAGCAGAAAUGAGAGGAGGACUCAAGAAUUGGACUUCAGAGUUCUCAUGUUCACGGCCAUAUUGAAAUUCCUAUGGGGUCUGCAUUGCAGGACUCCUCCCAGCUACACUGCAGUAUCAGUGGGGACAUGCUUUGCACAUUCUUGCCUUCAGCUCUCUGGCACUAUUUGCUCCAUGAAUUAUUCAAUGGCCUGGUGGCCAUUGCAGGCCAUAUGCAGAUGGCCCUGGAGAAUGCAUGGUGCACAGGGUAAUUCUAGUUUUCCAAUUAGCAGCAAGGUGCUGAGCUGCGAGCCCGAAGCCUACCUAUCUCCAGGAAUGGGUUACAGCUCUUCUCCACAGGGCAGUGCCAGGCUUUGUCAUUUCAUUCACCUCUGCAGUGUCUUCCUCUUGUUCUCCUCCUCCCAGAGGUCAUCUAUUUUCUACUCCCCUGAGAGCUCCAAGGCAAGGCUAAGAGUUAGAGGGGCACACUGCAGCAGAAAUGUGCAAGAGAAAAUGUGUAGGGAAUAAGGAAAGGGGACAUUACUAGAACCUCUGCAGUGGGUCCUAGUGUCCUGCGAGCCAUGGCAGCACAAGACGAAUUAACUUAUUAUACAGGAAAGGUAGAAAAAUGAGACUUUGAGAAGAAGCUGAGCUUUGGGCCUGAUCAGUGCUGCUCUGGGCGGCAAAGAGGAAAGCCCCCAGCUUCCUGCACCUUUUAUUCAGUAGGUCAGGAGAAAUAGAUGUAACAAAUGACUCAGGACAGAGAGUUCAGUGCAUGGGGAUAAACAAGGUGUAACAAUCCAAGAACAAUGAGGAACUGAGAAGAUGAAGAUUUGGUUCCUCCCAGGAUGUCUUCAGCUCGUGUAAUCUUGUCCUGGAGAAUCACAGUAUCACCGGAUCGUUGAGGUCUCAGUUGUGACCUGCGGGCCAAAAUAGAAUUAUGUCUCAAAAUGCCAUAGCUGGCCUGUAGGCAGGAGAAGUAGAAUUUUUCCCUAAAAUUAUGUAGCAUUGCUCCUGACAAAAAUGAAAUGAGAUGAAAGAUCGCCAUGAAGAGGUCUUGGGGGGAUUUCGUUAUUCAAAAGAAUUAUGAACAUAAUUCAAAAAAAGCACCAAUGGAGCUGAGCUGAGACGGAGCAUUGCUGUACAUCUUGUUUGAGCAAAUUGGUUCUUCGGUAUCUGAGUACUUGACUUUGUGCAGUGCAAGUCAGUCGCCUUCUUUGCCUCUGUUUCAUAAAGAAGAGGGCAGAGACCAUUUUCACCAACUGUGGGGAGGGUACAGUCACUAGGGAAGGGGUGUAGUCAAUUAUUUGCAGAAUGGCCUUUUGACAUGAAGACAUUGGAUAAGAUUAAUUUUUUGAUCUGUUGCAACAAGUGUGAGGCUAGGGGUAUUGUUCUUUCUUGAGAUUUUUCUCAUCUUGCCAGCAGAAAAAGUUGGGCAUCUUGUAGGAGGCUGAUGCGUCCUUACCUCACAGAUAGUAUGAAUUAUGUACCUGGUAAUGGUGCCCUCUUCCCUCUGGCUGUUUACAGAAGGCAGAACCUCUCUGUCUGCCCAGCUCUGGAAGCACGAGGGAUUUCACAGGAAUGCCUUUUAUGUUCUAGCUUACCCACGGUGCUAUUCUAGUCUAUCUUAUUUUCUUUGUCUUUUUCUCCCCUGGCUUAUGUUUAACUGACUGCCCCUUGUUGAACUGUAUGCAUCUAUGCCAGCCAUCCUUGGUCUUUCCCAAGAUGAAACCAAUAAAC
rnacentral:lncRNA from 1 species